GUAGAGCCAUUACUGAAGUGCUCCCUGACGUAAACUCGGAAGCGUAUGAAGUUACUGACUUUCACAUCAUCUUUGUACAAAUAUGUCUGGAUCUGGACUAACGUGUGCCGUAAUCGGAUGUAACAAUAACAGCAGAAAGCUAAAAAUGUGGAAAAAGAGCGUAUGUGCGCUUCAUAGUCCACAGUUUAAAGAGGAUUGUCCAUGUUGUGUGCCCUACGGUGUACACCGCUUCCCCGGCCGUGCUGAGGAUGAAGACAUUCGCAAGAUGUGGAUUAAAAACGUACACCGAAAGGACUUUGCCCCCAAACAAGUAUUCAAGGGUGUGUGGAGUACACUUCCCUGACGGCAGACCAACGCAGGAACACCCAUAUCCCAUAAUAUGGGAUAUGAAUAUAGUAAAGCACCGUCAUGUGGAAGACCACCCCAAAGAGGAGAUGUCUCCAGCCCCCAACAGAGAGACCAUGUGAUGAGCCUCCUGUGACAGAUUCUGACACCGAAGUAGGGCAUAGCUUGGAGGAUAGUCUGUCUCCACACCAAUGUGAUGUUGGCACUCAGUGGCCAGAGCGUAGUGAUCAUGAUUGUUGUUCGAUGAAGUCAACAAAAGAUGCAAGCACACAAACCGAUCCUACACCAUCACUGUCAGAUCAUGACAUGGAUGAUAAAGUGUCAAAACUUUACACUGGACUAGACAUCAUCAGCUUUUGGCAACUUUUGAACACCAUCAUUGGCUUUCUUCCACAGUCGAAGACGUUCAAAUUACCAGUCCAUGAACAGCUAAGUGCUGGUCCUAAUGAGGCUUCGG